GGGGAUGUAGCUCAAUGGCAGAGCACUUGCUUAACAUGCAUGAGGUCCUGUCCUCA
rnacentral:tRNA from 1 species